UGAGGAAUAUUGGGCAAUGCCCGCAAGGGUGACCCAGCAACGCCGCGUGGAGGAUGAAUGUCGUAAGAUUGUAGACUCCUGUUAGAGGGGAAGAAUAGUACCGGUUGGACCGGUAUAUGACUGUACCCUCAGAGAAAGCCCCGGCUAACUACGUGCCAGCAGCCGCGGUAAUACGUAGGGGGCAAGCGUUGUCCGGAUUUACUGGGUGUAAAGGGCGCGCAGGCGGGAUAAAAAGUCAGUGGUGAAAUCCUACAGCUUAACUGUAGAACUGCCUUUGAUACUUUUAUUCUUGAGUUCGGGAGAGAGAGACGAAAUUCCAGUUUGAGUGGUGAAAUACGUAGAAAUCUGGAAGAACACCUGUUGCGAAGGCGGUCUCUUGGUCCGACACUGACGCUGAGGCGCGAAAGCGUG
rnacentral:rRNA from 1 species